GAUGAACGCUGGCGGCGUGCUUAACACAUGCAAGUCGAACGAAGCACUUAAGAUUGAUUCUUCGGAUGACGUCUUUUGUGACUUAGUGGCGGACGGGUGAGUAACGCGUGGGUAACCUGCCUCACACAGGGGGAUAACAGUUAGAAAUGACUGCUAAUACCGCAUAACCCGAUAGGAUCGCAUGAUCCAGACGGAAAAGAUUUAUCGGUGUGAGAUGGACCCGCGUCUGAUUAGCUAGUUGGUGAGGUAACGGCCCACCAAGGCGACGAUCAGUAGCCGGCCUGAGAGGGUGAACGGCCACAUUGGGCCUGAGACACGGCCCAAACUCCUACGGGAGGCAGCAGUGGGGAAUAUUGCACAAUGGGGGAAACCCUGAUGCAGCGACGCCGCGUGAGUGAAUAAGUAUUUCGGUAUGUAAAGCUCUAUCAGCAGGGAAGAAAAUGACGGUACCUGAAUAAGAAGCCCCGGCUAACUACGUG
rnacentral:rRNA from 1 species